CAGUCGAGCGCCCCACAAGGGGAGCGGCAGACGGGUGAGUAACGCGUGGGAAUGUACCCUUUGCUACGGGAUAGCUCCGGGAAACUGGAAUUAAUACCGUAUGUGCCCUUCGGGGGAAAGAUUUAUCGGCAAGGGAUCAGCCCGCGUUGGAUUAGCUAGUUGGUGGGGUAAAAGCCUACCAAGGCGACGAUCCAUAGCUGGUCUGAGAGGAUGAUCAGCCACAUUGGGACUGAGACACGGCCCAAACUCCUACGGGAGGCAGCAGUGGGGAAUAUUGGACAAUGGGCGCAAGCCUGAUCCAGCCAUGCCGCGUGUGCGAUGAAGGCCUUAGGGUUGUAAAGCACUUUCACCGAUGAAGAUAAUGACGGUAGUCGGAGAAGAAGCCCCGGCUAACUUCGUGCCAGCAGCCGCGGUAAUACGAAGGGGGCUAGCGUUGUUCGGAAUUACUGGGCGUAAAGCGCACGUAGGCGGAUAUUUAAGUCAGGGGUGAAAUCCCAGAGCUCAACUCUGGAACUGCCUUUGAUACUGGGUAUCUUGAGUAUGGAAGAGGUAAGUGGAAUUCCGAGUGUAGAGGUGAAAUUCGUAGAUAUUCGGAGGAACACCAGUGGCGAAGGCGGCUUACUGGUCCAUUACUGACGCUGAGGUGCGAAAGCGUGGGGAGCAAGCAGGAUUAGAUACCCUGGUAGUCCACGCCGUAAACGAUGAAUGUUAGCCGUCGGGCAGUUGACUGUUCGGUGGCGCAGCUAACGCAUUAAACAUUCCGCCUG
rnacentral:rRNA from 1 species